AGUAUAGGGUGUAUAUUAGGAAUUCAAACGAGAUGGAUAUGGCCACAUUCCGCUCUAUUUUCUUGAUGGGUUGGGACGGAUUGAUUUUUAUAAUAUUAUUUGUACCCUAUUAUCGCUCUGGUCAGAGCGGCAGCGAAUUCUUUAUGAAGUUUUGACGGAUCUAGACGGAUUAAGAAAGGAACGAGUUUUUCAUCUUCUGCUUUAUUUUCUUAACGAAUUUGAGGCAGGUUAUUUUUUGGCUCCUGCUUACCGCCCUACUCGAGACAGAUCAGGGCAAGAGCUCCACUAAACCUGAUCGAUUUGCAUCCCUAGCAUAUGUCGUAUACCCCAUCAUCUAAGGGUGUCAAAUUCUGUACAUUUUGAGUGAUUCAUUUCAUCGAUCUGUAACAUUUCGGAAAGCGAUAAGCUAAAUCUACAACCCAAAAAUAUUAUGUAAUUU
rnacentral:lncRNA from 1 species